CUGACACAUCCACCAUCGC
rnacentral:misc_RNA from 1 species